GGUGAGGUGCCUUCCGAGUUCCCUGGAACGGGACGCCAUAGAGGGUGAGAGCCCCGUCUGGUUGGACGCCGAUCCUCUGUAAAGCUCCUUCGACGAGUCGAGUAGUUUGGGAAUGCUGCUCUAAAUGGGAGGUAUAUGUCUUCUAAAGCUAAAUACCGGCCAGAGACCGAUAGCGCACAAGUAGAGUGAUCGAAAGAUGAAAAGAACUUUGAAAAGAGAGUUAAAAAGUACGUGAAAUUGUUGAAAGGGAAGCGCUUGUGACCAGACUUGGGCUUGGUUGAUCAUCCGGGGUUCUCCCCGGUGCACUCUUCCGGCUCAGGCCAGCAUCAGUUCGCCUCGGGGGAUAAAGGCUUCGGGAAUGUGGCUCUCUCCGGG
rnacentral:rRNA from 1 species